rnacentral:sRNA from 1 species
GCAGGGCAUUGUGGCUCAUGUCUGUAAUUCCAGUGACUCAGGAGGCUGAGGCAGGAGAAUCACAAGUUCAAAGCCAGCCUCAACAAUUUAACAAGGCCCUAGGUAACAUAGUGAGACCUUGUCUCAA